rnacentral:rRNA from 1 species
GAUGAACGCUAGCUACAGGCUUAACACAUGCAAGUCGAGGGGUAACAAGAGAAAAGCUUGCUUUUCUUGUUGACGACCGGCGCACGGGUGAGUAACGCGUAUCCAACCUGCCUAUAACUAGGGAAUAACCUUGCGAAAGUAAGACUAAUACCCUAUGAUUUCCUUCGAUGACAUCAGAUUGGGAAUAAAGAUUUAUCGGUUAUAGAUGGGGAUGCGUCUGAUUAGCUUGUUGGCGGGGUAACGGCCCACCAAGGCAACGAUCAGUAGGGGUUCUGAGAGGAAGGUCCCCCACAUUGGAACUGAGACGCGGUCCAAACUCCUACGGGAGGCAGCAGUGAGGAAUAUUGGUCAAUGGGCGGAAGCCUGAACCAGCCAAGUAGCGUGCAGGAUGACGGCCCUAUGGGUUGUAAACUGCUUUUAUACAGGAAUAAAGUUAGCCACGUGUGGUUAUUUGUAGGUACUGUAUGAAUAAGGACCGGCUAAUUCCGUGCCAGCCGCCGCGGUAA